GCCAUAUAGCGUUAAACGCCAGUUCCCGUACCAUCACAGAAGUUAAGCAACGUCGAACUUGGUCAGUACCUAGAUGGUUGACCGUUUGGGAAUACCAGAUGCUGUAA